GACGAACGCUGGCGGCGUGCUUAACACAUGCAAGUCGAACGCUGAAGCUCAGCUUGCUGGGUGGAUGAGUGGCGAACGGGUGAGUAACACGUGAGUAACCUGCCCUCUUCUUUGGAUAACGCCCGGAAACGGGUGCUAAUACUGGAUAUUCACUGAUUCUCGCAUGGGGGUUGGUGGAAAGGUUUUUUCUGGUGGGGGAUGGGCUCGCGGCCUAUCAGCUUGUUGGUGGGGUGAUGGCCUACCAAGGCUUUGACGGGUAGCCGGCCUGAGAGGGUGACCGGUCACAUUGGGACUGAGAUACGGCCCAGACUCCUACGGGAGGCAGCAGUGGGGAAUAUUGCACAAUGGGCGAAAGCCUGAUGCAGCGACGCCGCGUGAGGGAUGGAGGCCUUCGGGUUGUAAACCUCUUUCGCUCAUGGUCAAGCCGCAGCUUUGGGUUGUGGUGAGGGUAGUGGGUAAAGAAGCGCCGGCUAACUACGUG
rnacentral:rRNA from 1 species